UACGAAGGGUGCAAGCGUUACUCGGAAUUACUGGGCGUAAAGCGUGCGUAGGUGGUGAGUUAAGUCUGAUGUGAAAUCCCCGGGCUCAACCUGGGAAUGGCAUUGGAUACUGGCUCGCUAGAGUGCGGUAGAGGGUGGUGGAAUUCCCGGUGUAGCAGUGAAAUGCGUAGAGAUCGGGAGGAACAUCUGAGGCGAAGGCGGCCACCUGGACCUACACUGACACUGAGGCACGAAAGCGUGGGGAGCAAACAGG
rnacentral:rRNA from 1 species